UACGGAGAGUGCGAACGUUGUUCGGAUUCAUUGGGCUUAAAGGGCACGUAGGCGGUCGGCAUAGUCGGAUGUGAAAGCCCUCGGCUUAACCGAGGAACGGCAUCCGAAACUGGCCGGCUUGAGCGAAGAAGGGGAGAGCGGAACUUCUGGUGUAGCGGUGAAAUGCGUAGAUAUCAGAAGGAACGCCGGUGGCGAAAGCGGCUCUCUGGUCUUCUGCUGACGCUGAGGUGCGAAAGCCAGGGGAGCAAAC
rnacentral:rRNA from 1 species